rnacentral:rRNA from 1 species
GACGAACGCUGGCGGCGUGCUUAACACAUGCAAGUCGAACGAUGAAGAAGAGAAACGCGAACUUCGGUUCAAAUUUCACUUCGGAUUAGUGGCAGACGGGUGAGUAACGCGUGAGCAACCUACCUCUUACAAAGGGAUAGCCUCGGGAAACCGUGAUUAAUACCAUAUGACACAUUCAUAAGGCAUCUUAAGAAUGUUAAAGCUACGGCGGUAAGAGAUGGGCUCGCGUCCCAUUAGCUAGUUGGUGAGGUAACGGCCCACCAAGGCGACGAUGGGUAACCGGCCUGAGAGGGUGAACGGUCACAUUGGAACUGAGACACGGUCCAAACUCCUACGGGAGGCAGCAGUGGGGAAUAUUGCACAAUGGAGGGAACUCUGAUGCAGCGACGCCGCGCGAGCGAUGAAGGAAUUCGUUUCGUAAAGCUCUGUUCUAUGGGAAGAAAAGGACUGUACCAUAGGAGAAAGCCCCGGCUAAAUACGUG